GGUAGCUCAGUGGUAGAGCAGCGGAUUGCAGUUUAUGCAGCUUUCCGAAGGUCAUCAGUUCAAUCCUGGUCUGCUCCU